GGUUAAGUUAGAAAGGGCGCACGGUGGAUGCCUUGACACUAGGAGUCGAUGAAGGACGGGACUAACGCCGAUAUGCUUCGGGGAGCUGUAAGUAAGCUUUGAUCCGAAGAUUUCCGAAUGGGGAAACCCACCAUACGUAAUGGUAUGGUAUCCUUAUCUGAAUACAUAGGGUAAGGAAGACAGACCCAGGGAACUGAAACAUCUAAGUACCUGGAGGAAGAGAAAGCAAAUGCGAUUUCCUGAGUAGCGGCGAGCGAAACGGAACAUAGCCCAAACCAAGAGGCUUGCCUCUUGGGGUUGUAGGACAUUCUAUACGGAGUUACAAAGGAACGAGGUAGACGAAGCGACCUGGAAAGGUCCGUCGUAGAGGGUAACAACCCCGUAGUCGAAACUUCGUUCUCUCUUGAAUGUAUCCUGAGUACGGCGGAACACGUGAAAUUCCGUCGGAAUCUGGGAGGACCAUCUCCCAAGGCUAAAUACUACCUAGUGAUCGAUAGUGAACCAGUACCGUGAGGGAAAGGUGAAAAGCACCCCGGAAGGGGAGUGAAAGAGAUCCUGAAACCGUGUGCCUACAAAUAGUCAGAGCCCGUUAACGGGUGAUGGCGUGCCUUUUGUAGAAUGAACCGGCGAGUUACGAUCCCGUGCGAGGUUAAGCUGAAGAGGCGGAGCCGCAGCGAAAGCGAGUCUGAAUAGGGCGUUUAGUACGUGGUCGUAGACCCGAAACCAGGUGAUCUACCCAUGUCCAGGGUGAAGUUCAGGUAACACUGAAUGGAGGCCCGAACCCACGCACGUUGAAAAGUGCGGGGAUGAGGUGUGGGUAGCGGAGAAAUUCCAAUCGAACCUGGAGAUAGCUGGUUCUCCCCGAAAUAGCUUUAGGGCUAGCCUUAAGUGUAAGAGUCUUGGAGGUAGAGCACUGAUUGGACUAGGGGUCCUCAUCGGAUUACCGAAUUCAGUCAAACUCCGAAUGCCAAUGACUUAUCCUUAGGAGUCAGACUGCGAGUGAUAAGAUCCGUAGUCAAAAGGGAAACAGCCCAGACCGCCAGCUAAGGUCCCAAAGUGUGUAUUAAGUGGAAAAGGAUGUGGAGUUGCUUAGACAACUAGGAUGUUGGCUUAGAAGCAGCCACCAUUUAAAGAGUGCGUAAUAGCUCACUAGUCGAGUGACUCUGCGCCGAAAAUGUACCGGGGCUAAAUACACCACCGAAGCUGCGGAUUGAUACCAAUGGUAUCAGUGGUAGGGGAGCGUUCUAAGGACAGUGAAGUCAGACCGGAAGGACUGGUGGAGUGCUUAGAAGUGAGAAUGCCGGUAUGAGUAGCGAAAGACGGGUGAGAAUCCCGUCCACCGAAUGCCUAAGGUUUCCUGAGGAAGGCUCGUCCGCUCAGGGUUAGUCAGGACCUAAGCCGAGGCCGACAGGCGUAGGCGAUGGACAACAGGUUGAUAUUCCUGUACCACCUCUUUAUCGUUUGAGCAAUGGAGGGACGCAGAAGGAUAGAAGAAGCGUGCGAUUGGUUGUGCACGUCCAAGCAGUUAGGCUGAUAAGUAGGCAAAUCCGCUUAUCGUGAAGGCUGAGCUGUGAUGGGGAAGCUCCUUAUGGAGCGAAGUCUUUGAUUCCCCGCUGCCAAGAAAAGCUUCUAGCGAGAUAAAAGGUGCCUGUACCGCAAACCGACACAGGUAGGCGAGGAGAGAAUCCUAAGGUGUGCGAGAGAACUCUGGUUAAGGAACUCGGCAAAAUGACCCCGUAACUUCGGGAGAAGGGGUGCUUUCUUAACGGAAAGCCGCAGUGAAUAGGCCCAAGCGACUGUUUAGCAAAAACACAGCUCUCUGCGAAGCCGUAAGGCGAAGUAUAGGGGGUGACACCUGCCCGGUGCUGGAAGGUUAAGGAGAGGGGUUAGCGUAAGCGAAGCUCUGAACUGAAGCCCCAGUAAACGGCGGCCGUAACUAUAACGGUCCUAAGGUAGCGAAAUUCCUUGUCGGGUAAGUUCCGACCCGCACGAAAGGUGUAACGAUUUGGGCACUGUCUCAACCAGAGACUCGGUGAAAUUAUAGUACCUGUGAAGAUGCAGGUUACCCGCGACAGGACGGAAAGACCCCGUGGAGCUUUACUGUAGCCUGAUAUUGAAUUUUGGUACAGUUUGUACAGGAUAGGCGGGAGCCUUUGAAACCGGAGCGCUAGCUUCGGUGGAGGCGCUGGUGGGAUACCGCCCUGACUGUAUUGAAAUUCUAACCUACGGGUCUUAUCGACCCGGGAGACAGUGUCAGGUGGGCAGUUUGACUGGGGCGGUCGCCUCCUAAAGUGUAACGGAGGCGCCCAAAGGUUCCCUCAGAAUGGUUGGAAAUCAUUCGUAGAGUGCAAAGGCAUAAGGGAGCUUGACUGCGAGACCUACAAGUCGAGCAGGGACGAAAGUCGGGCUUAGUGAUCCGGUGGUUCCGCAUGGAAGGGCCAUCGCUCAACGGAUAAAAGCUACCCCGGGGAUAACAGGCUUAUCUCCCCCAAGAGUCCACAUCGACGGGGAGGUUUGGCACCUCGAUGUCGGCUCAUCGCAUCCUGGGGCUGUAGUCGGUCCCAAGGGUUGGGCUGUUCGCCCAUUAAAGCGGUACGCGAGCUGGGUUCAGAACGUCGUGAGACAGUUCGGUCCCUAUCCGUCGUGGGCGUAGGAAAUUUGAGAGGAGCUGUCCUUAGUACGAGAGGACCGGGAUGGACGCACCGCUGGUGUACCAGUUGUUCUGCCAAGGGCAUAGCUGGGUAGCUAUGUGCGGAAGGGAUAAGUGCUGAAAGCAUCUAAGCAUGAAGCCCCCCUCAAGAUGAGAUUUCCCAUAGCGUAAGCUAGUAAGAUCCCUGAAAGAUGAUCAGGUUGAUAGGUUCGAGGUGGAAGCAUGGUGACAUGUGGAGCUGACGAAUACUAAUAGAUCGAGGACUUAACCAU
rnacentral:rRNA from 1 species